GCCCCUGUAGCUCAGCUGGAUAGAGCAACGCUCUCCUAAAGCGUGGGUCGGAUGUUCGAAUCAUCUCAGGGGCGCCA
rnacentral:tRNA from 1 species